GCAAGAAAAGUCACAGCCUUGGGGUUUCAGUGAAGAGACAGCCCAAAUGCUCUUGAAGUAGUCAGAAAAGUCUACAGGUGUGACUCCCUUAUGCCGCUCUCUCCUGCCAUUUGGGCAACAGCCAACUUCCGAGGCCAACCUUGUUUCUGGAGAAGCAUUCUUCCCACAUGGGAAAGGCAAGGAUGGUGCUGAGCCUGUCUGCCUCUGUGUUCCCUGGACAACUCCAUUCCAGUGCAAGAUUCUCAUGGUUGAAUUCAUCAGAAAUGUAAAAUUAACAAGGAAUUGUUCACCUGAUGAAAAGGAACAUGGAGAGAUGGUUCUUGAAUCUGAAUAGGAGGAGAUCGUGCCUGGACACACUAGGAAGAAUCUUCUGCAUUGAUUUGAUUAAAAAACAACUAUGUAAAUA
ensembl:lncRNA LINC02911 long intergenic non-protein coding RNA 2911